rnacentral:lncRNA from 1 species
CAAGCACCAGCAGGAAUCAGAGAAUGGUGGCUUCCAUCCUCUGCGCACAGCAGCAAGGAAGGCAUGUUGUGUGCUUCCAGCUCAAGCCGGCUCUGUGUUUUAGGCCAACCAACACAAUUCAUAUAACAUCCUUGCACAUUUCCACCAUUUCCCGCCUCACCAUGCCUCAGAGGACUACAGGCUCCCCAAGACGGGACAUGGUUGGGCAGGUACCGGAUAGAUGCUGUCACUGCUGAAAAAGAAAAAAAUAUCCAAAGUAUUCACGUUGUACCUGCUGAGUGCCAGUACUGCAUGCUCUGGGGAUUCCAUUCCUGCCCCUAUGGAAGAGGGGUCAACUUUUCCAAAACAUCAUCUUCUAGAGGAAGAAGCUGAAGCCCAG